rnacentral:rRNA from 1 species
UACGGAGGGUGCAAGCGUUAUCCGGAUUUACUGGGCUUAAAGGGUGUGUAGGCGGGCUAUUAAGUCAGUGGUGAAAUCUCCGGGCUCAACCCGGAAACUGCCAUUGAUACUAUUAGUCUUGAAUUUUGUUGAGGUAGGCGGAAUAAGUCAUGUAGCGGUGAAAUGCAUAGAUAUGACUUAGAACACCAAUUGCGAAGGCAGCUUGCUAAACAAAUAUUGACGCUGAGGCACGAAAGCGUGGGGAUCAAACAGG